rnacentral:rRNA from 1 species
AGAGGGGGCAAGCGUUGCUCGGAAUCACUGGGCGUAAAGGGCGCGUAGGCGGGAUGGCAAGUCAGUCGUGAAAUCUCUCGGCUCAACCGAGAAACGUCGGCUGAUACUGCCGUUCUUGAGGGAUGCAGAGGAGACUGGAAUUCCCGGUGUAGCGGUGAAAUGUGUAGAGAUCGGGAGGAACACCGGUGGCGAAGGCGGGUCUCUGGGCAUUUCCUGACGCUGAGGCGCGAAAGCGUGGGGAGCAAACGGGAUUAGAUACCCCGGUAGUCCACGCUGUAAACGAUGACGACUAGGUGUGGGGUGGGUUAGUCCAUUCCGUGCCGCAGCUAACGCAUUAAGUCGUCCGCCUGGGGAGUACGGCCGCAAGGUUGAA